GGCUCAACGAUCCUUCUGCUCAGCCUCCCAAAUAUCAGUAGCUGAUCUUCCAGGUUUAAUAGAAGGAGCACAUAUGAACAAAGGAAUGGGCCACAAAUUCCUGAAGCAUAUAGAAAGAACUAGACAACUUCUUUUUGUUGUUGAUAUUGGUGGAUUUCAGCUUUCUUCUCAAACUAAAUACAGAACUGCUUUUGAAACCAUAAUCCUGCUUACAAAAGUAGGUUUUCUGUUAUACUGUGUUCUGUAUCUGGUCUAAUAUGUAGGCAUAAGGGACUAUAUGGAAUGACAUAUUUAGAAUAAA